rnacentral:rRNA from 1 species
GCUGGCGGCGUGCUUAACACAUGCAAGUCGAACGCGCAGCAGUUUGUAGCAAUACAGAUUGUGGGCGCGUGGCGAACGGGUGCGUAACACGUGGAUAACCUUCCUUCAGGUGGGGAAUAACCCAGUGAAAAUUGGGCUAAUACCGCAUAACAUGACGAUGGCUCAUGCCGUUGUCUUCAAAGGCGCAAGUCGCCAGAAGAGGGAUCCGCGGCCGAUUAGCUAGUUGGCGAGGUAAUGGCUCACCAAGGCAUUGAUCGGUAGCCGGACUGAGAGGUUGGCCGGCCACACUGGAACUGAGACACGGUCCAGACUCCUACGGGAGGCAGCAGUGGGGAAUCUUGCACAAUGGACGAAAGUCUGAUGCAGCAACGCCGCGUGGGGGAUGAAGCUUUUCGGAGUGUAAACCCCUUUCGACCCGGAAGAAAGCCCGCAAGGGUUUGACGGUACGGGUAUAAGAAGCCCCGGCUAACUACGUGCCAGCAGCCGCGGUAAAACGUAGGGGGCCAGCGUUGCUCGGAAUUACUGGGCGUAAAGGGUCCGUAGGCGGUGUGGCAAGUUGGUAGUGAAAUCUCUGGGCUUAACCCAGAGGCUGCUGCCAAAACUGCCGUGCUA